rnacentral:lncRNA from 1 species
GACUUCUCCAGAGCUGAAGACACAUUCCUGUACUUUAUAAACCAGCCAGUCUGUGAUAUUCUGUUCUAGCAGGAAAUGGACUAAGACAAUGGAAAACAAAUGCUAAUGGAAUAAGGCCUCUUAAUUGCGAAACACAUGGGACCUGAUUGUACACUUACUGGUUUGUUACCUCGGAUGUAUCGUCAUAUUAAACUAAGGGUUAAUCUAAUACUAUUACUAAGAGAAAUCACCAGAUUAUGCUGAUAUAGAAUGUCAUCCAAGAGACACAUAAAGUACACACAGUUACUAAUUGUCAGCCUGUUUUUCCAUCUUGGAAUAUAAGGAUCAGUUUGUAAAACAAAUACUAAGGAUAAAAUACACAAAAGACUUUUUCAAUACAAACUAGAUUUAAAACUAGAUUUAAAACAGUUGUGAACGAAUGGGGUAAAGCUUCCAUUGCGUACCUUCAAUGGCAUACAAAAUCCUUUAUUUUAGGUCAGUUUGUGGGUCUUUCACCUGUCUGUGGUAUUCUACAGCAGCUGGAAUCCUCCUGAGUUCUCAAGGCACUUCUAUACUCUAUUGUUGGACAAGCCUGGCUUUUGCCCUGGCACUUGCCCUUGAUCAACCAGCUGACUUGGGGAAACAAAUGAAACUCUGGUUCCAGAGAUAAAAAAGAUUUUGAAACAGUGUCCUAUUGAGAAGCGCAUUAUCAUUCAUCUAUUCAUUCCCAAACAAAGUGCCUGCUAUUGGCUUCCUAACGGAGGAGACAAAGCACAAUAAAGCAUUGUUCUCCCUUGUUGGUGUGUUGUCAUCUUCAUGAAUCCAGAAAAGACUCUGGGACGCUAUUCUAGCAAAUGAGUAACUAUCAAAAUGUAUCAUGAGCUUUCACGGGGUCAGAGAGAACAGGGUAUAAAAGGAAUCAUAACAGAAAACACACAGGAACAUGCAGGCACACACUGCUGCUAGAAGG